CCUACGGGAGGCAGCAGUGGGGAAUAUUGCACAAUGGGCGCAAGCCUGAUGCAGCGACGCCGCGUGAGGGAUGACGGCCUUCGGGUUGUAAACCUCUUUCAGUAGGGAAGAAGCGAAAGUGACGGUACCUGCAGAAGAAGCGCCGGCUAACUACGUGCCAGCAGCCGCGGUAAUACGUAGGGCGCAAGCGUUAUCCGGAAUUAUUGGGCGUAAAGAGCUCGUAGGCGGUUUGUCGCGUCUGCCGUGAAAGUCCGGGGCUCAACUCCGGAUCUGCGGUGGGUACGGGCAGACUAGAGUGAUGUAGGGGAGACUGGAAUUCCUGGUGUAGCGGUGAAAUGCGUAGAUAUCAGGAGGAACACCGAUGGCGAAGGCAGGUCUCUGGGCAUUAACUGACGCUGAGGAGCGAAAGCAUGGGGAGCGAACAGGAUUAGAUACCCUGGUAGUCCAUGCGUAACGUAGGCGACUAGUGUGGGACGAUCUACGUUCCGUCGCGUGCUACGCAUAGUGCCCGCCGUCGGGAGGUACGGCCGCGACGGACGUAAACCGUAACGUAAAGAAAGUUAGACGGCGUUGAGACGNGCCGACGGCGACGACGAGGGAGGAGG
rnacentral:rRNA from 1 species